AACGGGCGAGUGAAGCGGCAAAAGCUCAAAUUUGAAACCCUCGGGAUUGUAAUUUGAAGAUUUGGCAUUGGAGAAAGCUAACCCAAGUUGCUUGGAAUAGUACGUCAUAGAGGGUGACAACCCCGUCUGGCUAACCGUUCUCCAUGUAUUGCCUUAUCAAAGAGUCGAGUUGUUUGGGAAUGCAGCUCAAAGUGGGUGGUAAACUCCAUCUAAAGCUAAAUACUGGUGAGAGACCGAUAGCGAACAAGUACUGUGAAGGAAAGGUGAAAAGAACUUUGAAAAGAGAGUGAAAUAGUAUGUGAAAUUGUUGAUAGGGAAGGAAAUGAGUGGAGAGUGGCCGAGGUUUCAGCCGCCCCUCGUGGGCGGUGUACUGCCGACGCCGAGUCAUCGAUAGCGAGACGAGGGUUACAAAUGGGAGCGCCUUUCGGGCGUUCUCCCCUAACCCUCCACACUGCC
rnacentral:rRNA from 1 species